rnacentral:rRNA from 1 species
CCCUUAGAUGUCCUGGGCCGCACGCGCGCUACACUGACAUGUUCAACAAGCCUCCUAGUUCGACAGGAUUUGGGAAAUCUUUGAACGCAUGUCGUGAUAGGGAUAGAUCAUUGCAAUUAUUGAUCUUGAACGAGGAAUUCCUAGUAAACGCGAGUCAUCAGCUCGCAUUGAUUACGUCCCUGCCCUUUGUACACACCGCCCGUCGCACCUACCGAUUGGGUGUGCUGGUGAAAUGUUCGGAUCGGCCGUUUGUCGCGGUUUCCGCGUCAUGUGGCUGAGAAGUUCAUUAAACCCUCCCACCUAGAGGAAGGAGAAGUCGUAACA